UACGGAGGAUCCAAGCGUUAUCCGGAUUUAUUGGGUUUAAAGGGUGCGUAGGCGGACUAUUAAGUCAGAGGUGAAAUCCGGCAGCUCAACUGUCAAACUACCUUUGAUACUGAUAGUCUUGAGUGUAUUUGAUGUGGGCGGAAUAUGUCAUGUAGCGGUGAAAUGCUUAGAUAUGACAUAGAACACCGAUUGCGAAGGCAGCUCACAAAACUACAACUGACGCUGAGGCACGAAAGCGUGGGGAGCAAACAGGAUUAGAUACCCUGGUAGUCCACGCCGUAAACUAUGAUCACUCGAUGUAUGCGAUACACUGUAUGCGUCUUAGCGAAAGCGUUAAGUGAUCCACCUGGGGAGUACGAUCGCAAGGUUGAA
rnacentral:rRNA from 1 species